rnacentral:lncRNA from 1 species
GUAAAAAUAUCUAUAAUACGAAAUUUUAUAUACGAAAAUAUAUUAUUUUUUUAUCGACAUAUAAAAAUAACAACAUUCAAAUUUCGUAAAAACUUCAAUUCAAUUGCUCGAGUUGCAAAAUCGUUAUUACUUGUAGUUUCAUUUAUAGGUUAUGCAUAAUUUGUAAGCAUAAAUGUUUAUUGUUUUAGUCGGCUUUUCAACAAAUUUUCAUCAAAAUAUUAUUCAUUUUCGAUUUAUAUUUCCUUACGACCUCUUUUCGUUCGACUGAAUCGGUAUCCGUUUUCAAAAUUUUCCACCAAGUUUCUUCGUAUUUUUAGUUAUAAAUACAGAUAGAAGAAGUCGCAGCUCGAGUGAGAUUAUACUCUAAAUUUUCAUUAGACAGGAUCAUUAAUCGUGGUCAUUUUGUUCGGUGUGUAUAUGUGCAUGUGUGGCGAAAUAUACAUGUAAACUUCGUUCUUUCGUAAAAUCAGUUAUAGAAAAGAAAACAGAAUAAAGAAAGAGAAAGAUAAGAAGAGGAGACGUCGCGGCGCCUAUCCAGCAUGCGAACGACGCCGUCUAGCUCAAUUUUGAAUUUAACAAUUACCAUGAGAUCUGGCUCAGAAUUUUUUCACUAAACUUUUUAAAAUAUCCUCAAAUAACCUAAAAAAUUGUACAAUGUAUGCAUAUCCUAUAUCGUACAUACAUCAAAAUCAAACUAUAUAUAUAUAUAAAAUUGAAAAGAAGAGAAAUAUUUUUAAGCUAAGAGAAAGCUAAUUUUCACAGAUAAAAAAAGUUAAGUGCUAAUCCAGCAAGUUAAACUUGACAUACUUUCGAAAUAUGGCAUCCAAUGCAUUAAGAUCCAAAGAAUCUUGGGUGCGCAGUAAUGAAAGCAUAGGUUGGUGAGAAGUGUUAGAGCGUCAGGAUGUUCGGCGCCACAUUGCCGCGACCCAAAUAGUAAUAAUACUGUCGGCGAAGCUUCUGUCGAUGGAGACGCUGUUGCGAGUGAUGGAGGACGAGGAAGAAUGACCGUACACCACCUACAUUUGCCUCAAUCUUGGACUCUGCGUAUACAUUAUUAUUCGAGUAAAUUUUUACGAGUCCUUUGGAUCGACCACACGUCUCUUCUAUGGCCCUUGUUUAGAUUAUUCUAACCUAUCUUAUGGUUACACGAUGCGUGUACCUAUGCAGAAAUUUCAAGGAAGACCAUUAAGGGAAAGAGAAAGAAACUUUUCUCGUGUUGAUAAAUCAAGUUACGACACCCACGUAAUACUGGUUGGGAAAAAUUCGAGCAAGCAGAUAUAAUAAUAAGAACGAUGACGAGAUCGAUUUUCCACGAAACGAAACGGACGAAACUUUUGCGACCAAUGUGAAAAACGAUUUUUCGAAUUAAUAAAAAAUAGAUAAUUGUGCAUUAUCAAGUAAUGAUUAACUAUGUCAAUGAAGCUCGUCAAUAUUUAUCUCAUGAUUAGAAUGAUUGCAUGGAGCUAAUUGUAUCAAUUACGUGCAAUUUUGUCGGCCGAGUUUAGAUCAGAUCCAAAAUGGCGAUUAGUUGUUUGGCUAUCGAGGAAUCCGCUUUCACGGAUAAACGCCGAAUUAAUUCACUGCUCUCUGUUUUCAUACGAUAGAUAUUAUUCGCUCGUAUCCUUUUAUUGUAAUAUGAAUUGGCCGAUUGCCAAAAACGAUUUUAUUACUUUUAUGUUCGGUGAAAAAUUGAUGGAAUAUUUCAUUUAGGUAUGAAAAUAAAAAUUUACUCGAAUAAGUAAUAGUUGCAGUUUCCACGAAUAAUUUAUCAUUUUUGAUGAACAAGUACAGUUUUACAAAG